UACGUAGGGUGCAAGCGUUGUCCGGAAUUAUUGGGCGUAAAGGGCUCGUAGGCGGUCCAUCGCGUCGGGAGUGAAAAGCUGGGGCUUAACCCCAGUCCUGCUUCCGAUACGGGUGGACUAGAGGUAGGUAGGGGAGAACGGAAUUCCUGGUGUAGUGGUGAAAUGCGCAGAUAUCAGGAGGAACACCGGUGGCGAAGGCGGCCCUCUGGACGGAUACUGACGCUGAGGCGCGAAAGCGUGGGGAUCAAACAGG
rnacentral:rRNA from 1 species